rnacentral:rRNA from 1 species
UGGGGAAUAUUGCGCGAUGGAGGAAACUCUGACGCAGCGACGCCGCGUGAAGGAAGAAGGUUUUCGGAUUGUAAACUUCUGUCCUCAGGGAAGAAAAAAAUGACGGUACCUGGGGAGGAAGCCCCGGCUAACUACGUGCCAGCAGCCGCGGUAAUACGUAGGGGGCAAGCGUUGUCCGGAAUUAUUGGGUGUAAAGGGCGCGUAGGCGGUAUAUCAAGUCAAACGUGAAAAUUAUAAGCUUAACUUAUAAACUGCGUUUGAAACUGGUAUGCUCGAGUGAAGAAGAGGCAAGUGGAAUUUCCAGUGUAGCGGUGAAAUGCGUAGAUAUUGGAAGGAACACCGGUGGCGAAGGCGACUUGCUGGGCUUUAACUGACGCUGAGGCGCGAAAGCGUGGGUAGCAAACA